AACUUUUUUAAUCAUAAAGUUUGACCUCAAAUCAGGUAGGACUACCCGCUGAACUUAAGCAUAUCAAUAAGCGGAGGAAAAGAAACCAACAGGGAUUGCCUUAGUAGCGGCGAGUGAAGCGGCAAGAGCUCAAAUUUGAAAUCUGGUACCUUCGGUGCCCGAGUUGUAAUUUGAAGAAAGCUAUCUUGGAUUUGGCCUUUGUCUAUGUUCCUUGGAACAGGACGUCACAGAGGGUGAGAAUCCCGUGCGAUGAGGUGACCAUUUCUAUGUAAGAUGUUUUCGACGAGUCGAGUUGUUUGGGAAUGCAGCUCUAAGUGGGUGGUAAAUUCCAUCUAAAGCUAAAUAUUGGCGAGAGACCGAUAGCGAACAAGUACAGUGAUGGAAAGAUGAAAAGAACUUUGAAAAGAGAGUGAAAAAGUACGUGAAAUUGUUGAAAGGGAAGGGUAUUAGAUCAGACUUGGUAUUUAGUUAUCAUUGCUCCUUGUGGGUGGUGCUCUAGCUUUUUACUGGGCCAGCAUCAGUUUUGGUGGCAAGAUAAUGACAUUUGAACGUAGCUCUUCGGAGUGUUAUAGCUUUUGUUGAUAUUGCCUACUGGGACUGAGGUCUGCGGCUUUUGCCUAGGAUGCUGGCGA
rnacentral:rRNA from 1 species